GCCGCGGUGAAUACGUUCCCGGGCCUUGUACACACCGCCCGUCACACCACGAGAGUUUGUAACACCCGAAGUCGGUGGGGUAACCUUUUUGGAGCCAGCCGCCUAAGGUGGGACAGAUGAUUGGGGUGAAGUCGUAACAAGGUAGCCGUAUCGGAAGGUGCGGCUGGAUCACCUCCUUU
rnacentral:rRNA from 1 species